rnacentral:SRP_RNA from 1 species
GCUGGGUGCAGUGGUGUGUACCUGUGGUCCCAGCUACUUGGGAGGCUGAGGUGGGAGGAUCACUUGAGCCCAGGAGUUCUGGGCUAUAGUGCGCUAUACUGAUCUGGUGUCUGCACUAAGUCUGGCAUCAGUAUGGUAACCUCCUGGAAGGAGGGGACCACCAGGUUGCCUAAGGAGGGGUGAACCGACCCAGGUCAGAAACGGAGCAGGUCAAAACUCCCAUGCUGAUUAGUAGUGGGAUCGUGCCUGUGAAUAACCACUGCACUCCAGUCUGGGCAACACAGCAAGACCCCAUCUCU